AACGAACGCUGGCGGCAGGCCUAACACAUGCAAGUCGAGCGAAGCCUUCGGGCUUAGCGGCGGACGGGUGAGUAACGCGUGGGAACGUGCCCUUUGGUACGGAAUAGCCCCGGGAAACUGGGAGUAAUACCGUAUGUGGUCGAGAGACGAAAGAUUUAUCGCCAAAGGAUCGGCCCGCGUUGGAUUAGGUAGUUGGUGGGGUAAUGGCCUACCAAGCCGACGAUCCAUAGCUGGUUUGAGAGGAUGAUCAGCCACACUGGGACUGAGACACGGCGCAGACUCCUACGGGAGGCAGCAGUGGGGAAUCUUAGACAAUGGGGGAAACCCUGAUCUAGCCAUGCCGCGUGAUCGAUGAAGGCCUUAGGGUUGGAAAGAUCUUUCAGUGGGGAAGAUAAUGACUGUACCCACAGAAGAAGCCCCGGCUAACUCCGUGCCAGCCGCCGCGGUAAAAC
rnacentral:rRNA from 1 species